GGAAAUCCCUCGGGAGUCGGGAUUCAUCUCAAUCUAGUCCAUCCCUUCCAUCCUGUGGGAUUAAAAGGGGACUUGGACUGAGGUGAAAUACAGGACCACAGGAGCUGAAUCUAAGUCUGCUGGAGGACACUCUUCCAGAGUCAACUCUCAGACAUACAGCUUUUCAUUGAUCCCUAUGCAUGGUGGAUAGGAGCUGCAAGUUGACAGAUGCCGCGAGCCGACAUUACAAGAUGACCGAUAAAGCUCGACGUCAUUCAUUCGGCACUAUUGCAGCGCGUCUGGUGUUGCGGUUGUCGGAGUAUUACGCCAGUUCUACCAUUACGUAAGUCUCAGAACCGAGAUUCUGCCUGCCGUCUGGUGGGUGUUCUGAGUGCUCAGUGGCAGGCGGCGGCACGGCUGAGGCGGGCGGCAGUCAUGGCAACAGCGAGGAAUGGGGGUGUUGCGACAUAUGAACGCGGUGGAAGGGGUUCAUAUGUUCAUUUGUGUUACGUUGGAAUGGUGCAUGGUUGGUCUAUGCCCAAAUCAUUAGAAUGCCUGAAUCAUGUUCCGCUUUCAGUGUAG